AAGUUUUAAGAAUUCCCUCCCACCCCCAGAUUUUCGCAGGGUUUUGUUGAUUUCCCCUCAACUUUCCACAGGUAUCUUAAAAGCUUUGCUCACUCAUCCCUUCUCUGACUUAGGAUUUGAGCAUCUUUCUGUUAUGCUGUUGCCCCACUCCUAUUGCAAUACUCCCCUUCUUAAGAAAGUUUUUCUAGACUAAUGUCUAGAUUAAACUUCUUUUCUUUGACAAUAAUGAUGCCAUGACUUGGACAAAAUGCCCAUUGCCUCUGGGUCCUGCUUUCUUCACCCAGUGCUGCCUUAUUGGACUCCUUGUGCCUCUCCUUGGCUGGGGAAAUCAGAAUACACAGUGGUAUCCCACUUCUAAGAUGCCUGAUCUGAAGGACAGUAAAACAACUGACCUUUGCCAGCAUGUAAAACACAUGGUUUAACUAGUCCUCCAGGAACAACACUGAGCAAUCCUGACCUGGGACUACUUUACUCGGCCAUCUCCUACUUGAGAUGCUCCUUGUCUCUCUGUUCAAGGACACCUUUUCUGAGCCUUUCUUGAACAAGAGUGGAGGACCGAUAGGGCGAUUAAACUGUCCUUGACACAACUUUAGAGCUUCAACUGAGAAUCUAGAAGAGAGUAGAUGGAAAAAUAUUUUUCCCUCCCCUCCAAAUGCAAGGAUAAUCUUACACGAGUCCAGGAGGAAGGCUCAUUCCACACUAAGUGUUCUGAAUCAAAAAGAUGAACAAAAUACAGUGCCAUUCUUCAAGGACUUCACAGUCUACAGGAAAGGGAUAUAGUUAAACAAAUAACUGCAGAAUUGGAAAUUGGAGCUGAUGUGCUUAGAAGUGUUUUGAACAAGGGGCAUGACUGUGACUCUCUCUGCUUUUGCAAGCUUCAGGAAAACCUUUACUCACAGUUGAAAAUACAGAGCCUCAGGGUGAAGCCCUAACUUCCCACAGCAGAUGGGGUCUAUGAGGAGGAAGAAGUAGACGCAUGGACCAGUCCUGUUAUGAAGACAAGUUUCAUGGUGCUACUCUGUCUCCAUGAGCUCCUAUGGCCCAGAAGCUGGCAUCCUGUGAGUGGAAAACCACCACUCCACAUAUCCUUGGACACUGAAGCAACCCAUCUGCAAUCAUUGGACUAGGUAUUAGCACAAUCAAAAUAGACAUUUCCUUCCUGAAUAAACCUGAUUAAUGGCUUAA
rnacentral:lncRNA from 1 species